UUAGGAAUUUUGCGCAAUGGGGGAAACCCUGACGCAGCAACGCCGCGUGAGUGAAGAAGGCCUUCGGGUUGUAAAGCUCUUUUAGUGGGGACGAAAAAAAUGACGGUACCCGCAGAAAAAGCACCGGCUAACUCUGUGCCAGCAGCCGCGGUAAUACAGAGGGUGCAAGCGUUAUUCGGAAUUAUUGGGCGUAAAGGGCGCGUAGGCGGUUUGGUAAGUCUGGUGUGAAAGCCCUGGGUUCAACCCAGGAAGUGCAUUGGAUACUGCUAGACUAGAGUAUAGGAGAGGAGAGCGGAAUUCCUGGUGUAGAGGUGAAAUUCGUAGAUAUCAGGAGGAACAUCAGUGGCGAAGGCGGCUCUCUGGACUAUAACUGACGCUGAGGCGCGAAAGCGUGGGGAGCAAACAGG
rnacentral:rRNA from 1 species